UACGUAGGGGGCAAGCGUUGUCCGGAUUUAUUGGGCGUAAAGAGCUCGUAGGUGGUUCGGUAAGUCGGAUGUGAAAUCUCCAGGCUCAACCUGGAGGGGUCAUUCGAUACUGCCGUGACUAGAGUUCGGUAGGGGAGUGUGGAAUUCCAGGUGUAGCGGUGAAAUGCGUAGAUAUCUGGAAGAACACCGGUGGCGAAGGCGGUCAACUGGCCCUGAACUGACGCUCAGGCACGAAAGCGUGCGGAUUAAACAGG
rnacentral:rRNA from 1 species